GACGAUCGCUGGCGCCGUGCCUAAUACAUGUAAGUCGAGCGGACUUGAUGAGGAGCUUGCUCCUCUGAUGGUUAGCGGCGGACGGGUGAGUAAUACGUAGUCAACAUGCCUGCAAGCCUGUGAUAACUGCGGGAAACCGCAGCUAAUACCGGAUACGCAGUUGACAUGCAUGUCUCGAUUGGGAAAGGCGGAGCAAUCUGUCGUUUGUAGAUUGGCAUGCGGCGCAUUCGCUAGUUGGUGAGGUAACGGCUCACCAAGGCGACGAUGCGUAGCCGAGCUGAGGGGGUGAGCGGGCACACUGGGAGUGAGACACGGCCCAGACUCCUAAGGGAGGCAGCAGUAGGGAAUCUUCCGCAAUGGACGCAAGGCGGACGGAGCAACGCCGCGUGAGUGAGGAAGGACUUCGGGUCGUAAAGCUCUGUUGACAGAGAAGAAUGUCGAGGAGAGUAACUGCUCUUCGAAUGACGGUACCUGAGAAGAAAGCCCCGGCUAACUACGUGCCAGCAGCCGCGGUAAUAC
rnacentral:rRNA from 1 species